CGCCGGUAAGCUAACGGCUAACAAGCUGUAAACAACUCUCAGCUCCUGACCUACUUUUCUCCUGACAUAUAACCACUUCACCACAGCUUUUCGAUAUAAACGAUGCCAGGAUAAGACCACGUGGACCAGCCUUCACUCCCCAUGCACAUCAAUGAGCCUUGGGCGCUGUCGACCCUGUCACUGGUUCACUGCUUGUCCUUCCCACGGACCACUUUUGUUAACUGCUGCGUACCUGAAACACCCCACAAGAACUGCCACUUUGGAGAUGCUCUGUCCCAGUCAUCUCGCUGCCACAAUUCAGUCCUUGUCAAAGUGACUCAGAUCCUUACACAAUUCAUCCUGCUUCAGCUCCAAUAGCUCGCUGUUCAGUUUCUGCCUAAUAUAUUCUACCUUUUGCUAUUAUAACAAGAUAAUCAGUGUGCUAGUGGUUUUAAUGUUGUGGCUAAUUGUUGUACGUGUAACUUUAUCGUGCAUCAUAUUUGUUCAUUUUCACCCCUCAAACACCUUCUGUUCUCACCUACAACUUUCUUUCCAUCACCGGUGAGACUGAUAAAGCAUUGCUGCUUUUAAAACUAAGAAUAGACUAAUCACAGUAAAUUGAUCAGUUCAAGAAUCGCUGACAUACAGAGAAGAAGACGCAUUACUGCUGAGAAAAGUGUAAAAAUAAACCCAUCACACUGUUGUAGCGUGCUCAUCAGUAGGGGGUAAAUCUACCGGGACAUUUUGGCUCACAGAUAAUCAAACCCCCCAAAUAUUUUGUUGGAGUUGCUCAGUGUGUGACAAGUUUCUCUCAUCUGGACACACAACACCCAGCUAGCGAGAAUGUUUGUGUGAAUAAAUGCCUCCUUUGUUCUUUUUCAUUUUCUUGCUUUGCUUUGCUGAACGUAACUGUAAGGCAUGAUGCUAGCGUUCCUGUCAGUUUUAUUUCUUCUUCACGCUCUCUUGCUGCUCUGCAACUUUAUUCUCUUGUUGUUUUAUGAUUUCUUCAUCUUCUUUUUUUUCCCUUUUCAGUUCUUUUAAACAUUGACAGGUGCUUUAAAACAGAGUGAAAGCAGCCCUCAUCCAAAGGGAGGAUUCCAGGUGACAUUUCUGUAAUGACAGCUUAUACAUUACGUCUGACAAGCAGAUGGGUGAGUGACAUUUGGCAUUUGCUUGUUUUUAAGCAAAAAUAUGUUUUUCAUUCAGAGUAGAAUAAACCAUGACUGCCUGAAUUUAUUUUCUGUGAUACCUUUCAAUGUUAAUCUUUAAAUCCCACAAUUUCCCCAAAUUUAACAGGACAGAACUUUCCACAAUGUGUUUGUCGAUACAUUAUAAUUAAGUGACAGAACAAUCUAUUAAAAUAAUACCAUAAAAUAAAUAGUGCCAAAUAAGCAGGGAAAUACAGGGGACACACACAAAACUUCUUGCAACCACAGUUAGAGAAUGAAAUAUCAAGAAUGCAAUAAUCAGAGUAAUUUAACUGAUGACUUCUGCUAAUUGCUCACCUCCCCCUAACCUUUAUCUGAACUCCAUAUUUAUUCCAUCCUGUCCCAGAAGAAAUCCUAAUUGCUCACACAAUUUGCUCAUGAAUAUUCAAUGAAAUGCAGAUGCCACAUUGUAAUAAAUAAAAUAUAGAAACCCAGAGCAACAAACACGUUGUUUUGUCCCUCGAGAGAGAUGUAGAGUUCAUAUAAGCUCAAGGCUUUAGGCUCCAUAGUGGCUUAACGAUCGUGCAACACAACUAACAGAUCAACUGGGUGUCCUGAAAAAUUUGAAGGCAACCAUGGACAAAAUGAGGGAAAUUAUUGCCCCCUUCAAAACUUAAUGAGGUAAGUUUUACUCCUCCGCUGGCCUUAUGUAUGAUUUGUGGGGUAUUCGGUCAAAAGCUGUGACCUAGUCUCACAUUGGUUCAGCACCCCCUACUCAUUUUGUUGCUGCGACUGAAUCUGCCUCCUUCAAUUAAGAGCUCACGUCUCCUCCAGUCUUUUUUUGUGCUCCAUUAAAUUUCUAAUGAUCCUAUCCAGUUUGAAUUAAGAAUCCAAUAUAACUGUCAAAAACAGAUGUUUAUCUGCAUGAUCCUCAGUGAAAAAUGGCGUAAAAUGAUCCAAUAACUUCCUUCCAAAAGAAUAUUGUACAGUAACUUAGUAUUCCAAUGUUUCCCAGUUUUAUUGGCUCUGAGGUUGAGUGUUCAUACUGUUAUUAGUGAUGUAAAGAAAGCAGUUAAAGUAAUUUUACCAUAGUAUAUCCAUUUAGUGUUACUUCAUACUACACUUUUUAAUUGCAGAGAGAAAUAUGAUGUUUCUAAAAUAUCUAAUUAACCAGAUCUUCCUGACACAUUUGGCCUAUUUUAUAAAAGGACAAAUCUGGGGCUCCUUGUCAUGUUUCCAGUGUCCAUGAGUUGAUGCACCAAAGAGACAUUUAAGCCCCAAUCAGGUGAAAUGAUCAGAUAUAACUUUUUCUUUGUUCUUCUCCCGUUAAUUAUUUAGAAUCUCUCAGAUUUAGCUUAUGUUGGCAUCACCACCUGUAUCGGCCAAUAAAGCUUUAAAAUGAAAUAUUGGAACCAGGAUAAAAUGGACAGGAAGAUGAAGUUUGUCAGGCUGAAAGUUUACAGCUUAGUUUGAAAACGUAAUUCAAAACGAAAAAUAGCAUAUUUUACAUGUAAGUUAAAAUAAUUUUCCUAUUUUGCAAAGUAAAUGUGUGCAUUUGAAAAGCAUUUUAUUUUGUGUCUGCAUCCUCCUAUGGACCGUCACGAUAAGAGUAGGCAUAAUGAUGUUAAUCCCACAACAGGAUCGACUUUAUGUCCUUUGUAAAUAAGUGGAAAAAUAUGUGCAUUUAUCUGUAACAGCAUCCUUAGUGCUCCAUAGCCAGGCCAUUCUGCAGCAUAGACUGAUCUGGCCCCACUAUUAUCAUUCUGCCAUGUUCAGGCUUGUUUGUGUUUCUGUAAUCACAAACAUAUUCGGUGGAGCUGAGCCAGGGUGCAGCAACAGAUUUCCCUUUAAAAUGGAGACAGGUAAUUGUUUUAGUUGAACAUUUGCACACAGGGAGGUAAACAUUGUCAUUACAAUGGCUAUCUCACCAAAUAAAUAAAAUAAAUAGAUCUACCAGAGCUGCCGUACUGCACUGUUGAUAUUCUCUGUUUUUAUUUUUCAGUGUGGUAGAAUGCUGCUCUGAGUGUUUUUUGUUGUCGUAUUCCGUGGUGAAGGGGAUUUUGAAAGUAGUAACAUUUAGACCAGGAGUCACCAACCUUUUUGAACCUGAGAGCAACUUCAAGGGUACUGAGUAGUAUGAAGGGCACCUUGUUUGAUACACACUUCCUCAAUAGCAAACUUACGCCAUCAUCUUUAAAUAAUAAUAAUAUGAAAAUAAUAUGUAAAAAGACUGUCUGAUCACAUUUGUUAAUUAUUCCUCACAAUAAUUUUUAAACAACGAUUUCCACAACUAUUGAUGGUAGGAAACACACACACACACACACACACACACACACACACACACACACACACACACACACACACACACACCUAUAUAUGGAAAUCUGUUCCAAUAUUUAAAAGUCAGAGGUAUCCCAUCUCUGAAACUUUUGUAAAUAUCUUUCUUGGCAGUUUUGUAUGAAUCAGCAUGUUUGCAGCAUUUUGUUCAAAAUCACACCAGUUACAUUUCUGUGCAAAUGAUCACUUCUAACAUUUUUAGGAAAUCAUUAACUGUCAUCAAAUCAUGCUUCAUUUGUGCAAACCACUACCUUUGUAACAUUUUUGAACAAUUCAUGAACUCUGUCCCAUGUUUGUACAAAUUAUCAGUUAUGUAAGAAAAAAAAAUCAACUCUUUCACAUUUUGAAAUGAAUCCUAUCACAUCAGUACUAAUCACCAGCAUUUUUCACCAGCAUUGCAGCAUUUUUAACAAAUCAUAACAAAUCAUUACAUGUUUUCAACAAAUUAUUUUUCACAUAUUUGUGUAAUGGCACAGUGUUUUGAAUGACGUUUUACCUCUUUCUUUGUCUGUAAAUGUGUGUUAGUGGCACUGUUCCCUCUAAGCUGCGCGCGUGCGCAAUUGCGCACUGCUGACAUGGUCUCUGCACACAGAAAAUCUGCGCUGCGCACAAAAAAAAACAAAAAAAACCCCAAAUUGUAAAUAAAAUAAACACAUAAUUCGUUCUGUGCUAUUUUUCAAUGUGAGUCAGUGAGUGACCGGUGACUGGCUGCUGCAGCCAAUGAUGCGAUUCACAUACGUAUUUACCAUAGACUGUAUAUAAUGGUAUUUACGCAGCUAAUCAACGUCAGGCGUCCUUAUGUGCAGCCAUCGUUGUUGUCAUAGAUAUGAAUGAGUAGAUAGGACACGCCCCUUUGAGCUGCGUGCUACUGCGAGGCUAAGCUAGUGGGGGCAAAGUUUCAGUGCAUUCCGUUGAUGUAGACGGCGUUAAAACGGAAACAACAAGUAUACCGGCUCACUGCGCUGCUGUUACGGCCAGCGCUUCCUACCCUGUGUGUGUGUUUUAACCAUAUAUUGUGGCUAUGCAAAUAGAGCUGUGUGAUCCCCACUCCCUGGUUGGACCACGACGGCAGAGGCGUGACUGCAACCAGGAGUCCUGCGAUUGGUGCGGCGCUCACCAGGCUGACCAACCGAAAACUGCCAACUCUUUUAAAAGCGUUGGCAGUUCAACUGAACGAGGCAGCUGACUUCUAGCGUGUCAUUCUGUGUUUCUGUGUGGUUGAGGCAAGAUAGACUGUGUGGUAGGAAUUGGGCCAGGAUUAGUGUUAAAAACUGAUACAGCAACAUUUCAUUUCAUUACAGGUAGUUUUUGUUUGUCUAGUUUCACCAGGGUUAGGGGUGCUGACUCCCAUGUAGUUUUGUUUUGUGCCAGUUCCCAGGUAGUGAGCCUUUUUGUUUACUUUUUUCUUUUGUCCACAGCGAUUGUAUUGUAUUGUAGUGUAGUGUUAAGUUCUCCUUAUGAGAACUCUUCUUGUGUUUUGCUGUUUUCUUUAAUUUGAGCAGCACCCACCAGCCAUCUUCCUUAGUUUUGCCUCAUUUGUAUAAUACCUUGCACAUGUUUGUUCAAACUUUUCUAUAAUAAAUAAUUAGAUUUUUACCAACUACAACUGUUUAUGUUGCUUCCCUUCCCCCCCAAGCCGGGGUUGUAACAGCUGUAUACAAUUGCACACUGCGUCGUACGAUUGAGACAAGGAAACUUGGAAUGACUUUUCAUAGGUAAGAAUAGUUUUUGGCUCUUUUUUCAUUAUGAAAUCUUGUUGAGAGCUUCCAGUCUAUGAGAGCUAACUAGUUAGCCACUAGCAAACGCUAAGGCGAGCUAGCAGCUUGACAACCAAAUACCAGACGAUUAAUAGUAGCUGUAGUAUAGUUGUACAAGCAGUAGUAGUAAUACUAAAAGUACAAGCAGCAGUAGUAGUAUAAACAGCUGUUAGAGUCGUAGAAGUAGUAUCAGCAUUUGUAAUAGUAUUACAAGUUGUAGUAGCAGUGCCAGUAUCAGCAGCAGUAGUUAAUGUACUACCAUUACUACUAGUAGUAGUCACAUUGCUAUUACUACCACCAAUACUACCAAUAGUAAUAAUAAUAAUAAUAAUAAUAAUAAAUUUUAUUUAUAAAGCGCUUUUCCAAAAACUCAACUAGUAGUUCUAAAGCCUAACUCAUGUAUAUCCAGAUUACCAUCUAUGUUCUUCCUCCAAACCCAUUUUAUGAUUGGGAUUACAGGCAGUUCUUUAGGACUGCUCUCAAAUAAUUGAAAUGUUACUAAACAAGGUUAUACUUAUCAAAUUAAAUAGCUCUGGUCUCCAGUAUAUUGGCGAAUUCGGUUCUUUAUACUUAAUUUAUUAGCAUGAUUUCUUUUUUAUAUGUUGUGUACAGACUUAAUUACUUCUGUCUACUUUUCUUACUCCAUGUAGGUUUCCCAGAGACUAUGGGUUGAGGAGGAAGUGGAAGUUUGUCGGCUUAGACCUAGUGUCAUUCCAUCAGUGUUAACCUUCCCGGCUCAUCUUGGAAGAGUACGUGCCAGAAAGACCACGACCAAGCAGCCUUGAGAUCUUAGGCAGCAUCUCUCUGAGGUCCCUCUCUAUCUCCCCACACAUCCACCAACCACUGGAACACAUCUCCAAAGUUCUGCCGGGCCAGCUCAGCUUCCCCUCAGAAGAAGUGCAACCACCUGCCAGAUGAAGGAGCCUUUUGAGAGGCAGCUGGCAUCGUGAUUGGACUGUACUUUGGUCUGUUCCAAUCCAGCUUCAGCUCCAGAGACGGCAGGCGGGAUGAGUCAACGGAGGCCAGGUGGACGAAGACCAAAGAACUACAGACUCUUCACAACCUGCUCAAACUCUUGGUACAGGACCUCACCACACGGGUCAAGAAGGUUUCCUUCUCAUUUCUACUCUGAAGCUCACCUUCUCCUGCUCAAACUGCUGAUAAAUGUUUCUGCUGCUCUAAAGUCUGGUCUCCAGAACUUCCUAAAAACUCUGAGUCUCUUCUGCUGCAGGUUGCUUUGGAGAACUGUUGCAGAAAACCUCACUAAACCACAUGGAGGGGCCUCAAGAUAGUCGUCCAAAUGAAACCAUACAAAAACCAAACUAGCACAACCCAAAUGCUAAAGUCUCCUGCAGCCUACCAGAGAACCUCUGAGAACAGAGAAUCAGGACAGGAACUCUUACCUUCUGGACAACCAACGCUGGUUCACAAACAAGAAUACAGAAUGUGUCUGACCAAAAAACCUCUGAAGACUCACUACAGCCAAGAUAAAGACACAACUCAGCUGCAACAAAUCCACUAAUCACUGCACACAUUAGCACCAUGUGCUAACUGUGGCUAAAGAACCACAUUUACCAAGACAACUAUCCAGUACAAAGCCCUAAAACACACCAAGAAACACAUUAAAGACGAUUUUACUGCUGGAAGCUGCAAGCCAACGCCAAAAGAACGAACUAAAGCAAUGGGGCCAAACCCGGUUCAGUGGUGAAGAGAAGCAGAGGAAAUGUUUGUCUGCAGCUAAAUAAAGCAGGAAGACACUGAGCUGCUCAGGUGUUCCUGAUAACACCAAGCUGCUCAGGUGUUCCUGAUAAUACCAAGCAGCCACCUGGACAGCCAAUAGGAACAUGGCUUCCUGGGAGUCCAGAGGGCUGGGUUAGUGAAGGAAAUUUAAUUUAAAGUUGAAGCAGAAAGUUAACAAAGAAAGUUGAAAACCACCUUCUGAUACCUGAAAUCUCUGAGUUUUCACACAAAGAACACCUGAACAUGUCAAACUGGUUCCAUAGUAGAACCAUCAUUGUAAAAAUGUCAUAGUAUGGUGUGUUGCUCAAAAAACAUUAGGACCCGACUGUCAGGGGACAAACAUGUAAGAAACAUGAGAACAGAGAGAACCCAACCAGUAGGUCACAGUUUAUCAUCCCCCAGUCAUCUCCUGAAGUCCAUAUGGUGAGAGACAUCAGUAUCUGGUUGUUAAUUUACCAGAGGAUGCUUAUAAUCAUGCUGAUGUGGUCUGUACUCUACAGUAUUUUAGUGACUCAAUAAAUGCCUAAGUUGUUUUUUUUAAAUGUUUUUUAGUUUUUAAUAAACAUUUAACAGCCUAUAUGUAAUCAAUAAAUGGCCUUUGCCUGUCAAGAAAAAUUCAUUCAGAACUCUGAUAUGUUAACAGUACUAAAUAAAUCAAUAAAUACAUGCAUACACACAUAAAUAAGUUAAUACAUUAACUGUGUUAAGAUAAGAUUUAGAUUAAAAAAAAGUUGUUUAUGUUUUUGCAGAAUCCAGUAUUGCUCACUGGUUGGUCAUUACAUUUUAUUAGUUUGAUUUCACUGUUUAAAAUGAUGCCACCUCUUUUCAGACAGAACCUGUGAUAAUAAAACAAUACAAAAUUUUUAGUUCCGUGUUAAUAAAGCACUUAAAGCUUUAAGUAUGGCUAAAUGCUUUUUUCAAAAUUAAAUAUAUCACUCCUUAGGUGGUAGUGGCCCCAAGUUCAGUAAAGUUGGAAAGAUAUUCACAGAUUCAGACUUCCAGCAUCAAUAACUCGUUAGAUAUAGGUUGUCAAAACAUAAACGGUGCCUCUUUCCCAUUGUUGCAAGGCAGACAAUGUGCUACAAGCCCAGUUUUAUCAAAAGUAGCUGUCUUUCAAGCUACAGGAAUAACAUUGGUGUCUAUGGAGUGAACAGGGUCCGUCUGCAAUUUGCAAAACCGCUGCAACAGUAAAGAGAGACAAAUAUUCAAUAACUUCACUCUUAUACAUUGUAGUGUCACUAAAAUCACUGCAGCCUUCAACUGGCUCCUGUUGACAAAGUGUUUUAACAGAAAUGUAAAUGCUGUAAUUUGAUUCUUUUAAUGAACCAUGUAACUUGAAUGGAUGUGAUGCUGGUGUGACCACAGUGCACACGUCUGAUGUUGCUCACAGUGGUCCAAGGGAUGCUCAGGGAGUUUGUGUGUUUGCUCAGACUCAUGAAAAAUUACAGGGAACAUUGGUUAGUGGGAAGCCUGGCAUUGCAGAGCUUAUCAUGUCAGCAACAGUCUUACCUUGACCUUGCAGCUCACAGUUCAGAUGGUUCAGUUUCCCAGUGAUGUCCAUUAAAAAUGAAAGGGCAAGAAUCCACUCAGUGUCCUCAAGCAGCAAGGUGUCUUCCCCUUUGGACUGCAUCAACUCUUUGAUUUCGGCCAACAGUGACAAAAAACGCUGCAAAACUGUUCCCCUGCUGAUCCAUGGGGUUUCUGUGUGUAGUAACAAGUCACCAUGUUCAGCUGACAGCUCCUCCAGCAGCACCUUCAAUGUCCUGGUUGUUUGGCUUUGGAGCCAUUUAUGAUCUUCACGACAGGAGUCAUCACAUGAUCAAAUCCGGCCACUUCUCUACAUACAUAUGUCCUGCUGGUGAAUGAUGCAGUGGUAAUUUAGGAAUGUUGGGAAGUCUGGAUCACCUCUGCAUCGUACGUUGAAGCCUGCAUGCUGACCCGUCAUGGAGGGAGCCCCGUCCGUCGUCACUAAAACAAGCCUUUCUAAUGGUACAUUUUUAUCCGCGAAGAAACUUUUCGCCACGUAGUAGACGUCAAAGCUGCCUUUAAGUCCCGGGCUUUUCCUGUCCAUAGUGCACAUACAGUCUAUGUGUGCUACCAGGUGGCUAGUUAGCAUGGAAGCUUUGUAGCGGCUAAAGUAGCGUCUCUCCACAUCGUGCCGCUUUGCCGAUGCAAUAGUCGCCCCGCAAAUAGGACACAUACAUUUAUCUUUCACUGUCGUGAAAAAGAACUCUUCCUCCAAAUCAUCGUGAAAAUAGUGUUUUCUCUUUCACUUCUCUGCCAUGUUUUGGGGGUAAAAACCACAUCUAGCUUCCCAAAGUGUCUGCGUCCUGAUGCUUCAGCAAAGAGUGACGUGGUGGUUUGACAUGCGCAG